GCAUUAGCCCGUCGCUUGGAAGAAACAAACAAAUACACCAUAACUCUUGUUAACACCCCUUUAAACCUUAAGAAGCUUAAAUCAUCUCUCCCUCAAAAUUCCUCUAUUCACCUUCUUGAAAUUCCUUUCAAUAGCGUAGAGCAUGACCUCCCUCCAUGUACUGAAAACACAGACUCUAUUCCGUAUCAUCUCUUACCAAAAUUCCUUCAAGCAUCAGCAUCGCUCGAACCCCACUUCAAGAAACUAAUCUCUGAACUUGUCAAUGAGCAAAAUGGCCAAAAACCACUUUGUAUCAUCACUGAUACGUUCUUAGGUUGGUGUAAAGAGACAGCACAAGAGUAUGGUAUUUUUCAUGCUAUAUUCAUAGGAGGUGGUGGCUUUGGCUUUGCUUGUUUGUACUCGAUGUUGCUAAACCUACCUCACCGCAGCACGGAUUCUGAUGAAUUUCUGUUGCCGGAUUUUCCAGAAGCUUCAACACUUCAUGUAACACAGAUAUCUCCUUACUUACGUGCUACCGAUGGAAGUGAUUCUUUUUCAGUGUUUUAUAAGAAGUUGCUUCUUCUAUGGAAGGAUGCAGAUGGAAUUUUGGUUAACACGGUUGAGGAACUUGACAAGAUUGGACUGAUGUAUUUCAAGAGAAAAUUUGGCCGGCCGGUUUGGCCAAUAGGGCCUGUUCUUUUGUCCACGGAAAGCAGAGCUGGGGCCAGAAAAGAGUACGGAAUCUCCACAGAGUUGUGUAAAAAAUGGCUUGAUACAAAGCCGUACACUUCAGUUCUGUAUGUAUCAUUUGGUUCACAAAACACAAUAGCUGCAUCACAAAUGAUGCAAUUGGCAAUGGCUUUAGAGGCUAGUGGCAAGAAUUUCAUUUGGGUUGUCAGGCCGCCGAUUGGCUUUGACAUAAAUUCUGAGUUUAAAGCCAACAAAUGGCUGCCUCGAGGAUUUGAAGAAAGAAUCAAAUGUUCAGGACAAGGGCUAGUGGUACACAAAUGGGCACCUCAGGUGGAGAUUUUAUCUCAUAGGUCUGUAUCCGCAUUUUUGAGCCACUGCGGAUGGAACUCUGUGCUUGAAGCUUUGAGUCAUGGGGUGCCGAUAAUUGGGUGGCCAUUGGCAGCAGAGCAGUUUUAUAAUUCUAAGCUCUUAGAAGAAGAGAUGGGGGUUUGUGCGGAGAUAGCAAGAGGGAUGAGUUGUGAGGUUCUGAAAGAGGACUUAAGUGCAAAAAUUGAGUUAGUGAUGAAUGAGACUGAGAAAGGAACAGACUUGAGAAACAAAGCUAAUGAGGUCAAGGUGAUUAUUAAGAAUGCUGUGAGAAAUGAAACAAAUUUUAAGGGGUCUUCUGUGAAAGCCAUGGAUCAAUUCUUGAAUGCUGCAUUGAUAAUGAGACAGACGGAAAAGGGAGCAUCAAACAUCAAAGGAUGAGGUUUGAUUUUGCGUGGAAGUAAGUCUCCAUUGCCAUUUCUGUCAAUGAAAAAUAAUGUCAUCUUUUAACGAGACAGUUUUUGGAAAAUUCUUGAAGUAAUGUUAAGUUUUGGGAAAAUUCUUGAAGUAAUGUUAUCUUUGUAUUAACUUUCGAUCAAUAAUAUGAAAUUUAAUUUUAUAUAAAUUAAUCCCAUACCAAAGAGCCACCUCUGUUUUUUGUGACUACAUCUAUCGAGAGUUUGAGUUUAAAGCUUGUUAUUUCCGAGUGGGAUCAAGAAUUUAUAGAGCAUAAUUCCUUUUUUUUUUUUUUUUUUUUGAUAGAGCAUAAUUCCUUAGUAUUUAAUGUUUUCAAUAAAUGAAAGUAAGAUUGGGCCGGAAAAACAUCACGCACGAUCCACAUCAAGCCCAACCCAGACCAUAUCAUUUGGGCUGGUUUGAUAAGGGAAACUCAAUCUAUAAUAAAUUUCGGCAGGGAUUGGGUUGAUGAUUUUCACAAAAUAAUUUCUAAAAUGAUAAAUCGAUAAAUUACUGUUGAAAAAAUAAUAAUAAAAGGUAGAAAUCUGCAUCUCUUGAUUUAUCAAUGGCACCAUCAUCGUCAAUGACCAAGCUUCUGAUAGUGGCUAUAACGAUAUUUGUAAGUUUUGGCUAAAUGGGAUUGCCACCAUUAAAUUUUUUAGUUAUUUGUAUCUUAGAUUUUUCUAAGAUCAUAAUAUGUCAAAAUAAAUUAUUGAAUCUAAAAGGAAAAAAAAAUUGAACUAACUGUACUUUUUUUUUUAAUGGAAAUGCAUUUUGAUUAAAGUAUAGUAAAACGUUAAUAGCAAGAAUAAACAUGACUUUUCAUAUGAAAUUUUGGUUCAAUCGCAUGCUGUAAAUUUCAAAAUUUGGGACGCCAUAAAUUUCAAAGUUUGAGAAACAAAAAAGUUAUGAGAUUUUUCUAAAUAUGUGCAUUGAGAUCUCCUUCUUACCAUUCCUUAAUUACAUUUUUUUUUGUUGAAUUAUAUUGUGUUUUGUGGUCACUUAAAAUAGGAUUCAACUUUAUACCAUUGAACCAAUCAUGUUAAAAUGUUGGAUGAAAUUGAAUUAAAAUUAUUCAUAGCAUUAGAUGGAGAUUGAGAUUUUAUAAACAAAUGUUGGAUGGUGAUUGGAGAAAAGAGAUAUUGCAAAUGGCGACGCUGAUCGGAGAAAACAAAAAUACCCUAAAGUAUAUAAACGCUUGGUUUCGCAAUGAUAUAUAUUGUCUGAUUUAUUGAAAUUUGCUUUAAAGUAUACUCUAAUUUACUGGAUUGCUUGAAAAAAUAAAGUGUAAUGUUAAUCGCAUCUCGUAGAUUUGUAUGCAAAAUAAAUUUUAAUAUAAUAUUUUAAAUUAAUUAAAAUAACAGUAAUUUUCCAUUACAAUAAUAAAUCGUCUUUAAUUAUUUAUGAAGACAAAAUUUGGGCUAUUUUCAUAUUGAAAGCACAUAUACUCUUUGUCUGCAGGGGCGACCCUCCAAGACUGAGACCAUCUAAAACUUGACUCAACAACUCAGCAUCGUAUAUAUAUUCCCAAAAGAUGAAAGCUUUGGUUUCCCAACUAAGUCACCCACCUGUGCUUUUCCCCUGCGUAUUUAGGGAUGGCAAAAAUCCCUACGAAGACGGGUAUUUUCGGAGAUUUUUUCCAUUCAGAGAGAAUAUGAGGAUAAUUUCAUACCCAAUUUCUUAUUCAGGAAAGGGACAUAGAAAUUUUUUAAUUUCUUAUUCGGGGAGGGGACGGGGAUGAGGUGGAAUCCUCAUCCCCUACCCAUUUCCCCAUUUUAAUUUUUAAUUUAAUUUUUAUUUUUUAAAAUUACUAGUAAAUAAAUAAUAAAAUUUGAAUUAUAAAAUUAUAAGUAUUGGUAAAAAUAAAAAAUAUCAAAAUAUUUAUAUUAUUAAACUUUUAGGCCUAAUUAACUAAUUAAAGUCCUAAAUUUUUAUUUAAGACAUUAAAAAGACCGGACAUAUUCUAUUAGCCCAAAAUUUUUAUUUUUAUUUUAAUAUUCAUUAAAUAUUUUAAACUUAAAUCUAUUUUUUAUUUAUCUUAAAUCUAUUUUUUAUUUAUUUUUAGAUGUUAUAAUUGCCCACAACAAAUCACAAUUUUAAUAUCCAAUCUAAUUUAAUAUUUGCUCUUGAUUUGUUUCGACUUAACUAUUGUGUUGUAAAGGGAAUAGUCCACAUUUAUAAAGUGCUCACGCCACCAUUGAAAAGUUAAUUUUGAAUCUAAAUUUGAUUUUAUUUGUAACAAUUUUGUAUUAGGCUAUUAAUUUGUUCAUGAUAGUUUGUAUCCCUUGCAUGCUGCGUUACUUACUAAUUUAAUAUAUGUGACUUUUGUAAUGGAUAUUAAUGUAAGAUAUAUUUCGAAAUUUACUUUUAUUUGAAUUUUUUUAUUUUAAUAUGAUUAACUCAAAAUCGAAAACAAAAAAAAAUGUAUUAGUUAUUCAGGGAUCGGGGACCCUCGGGGAUCCCCUGUUAUUAUUCGGGGAGGGGAUGAUGAUUCUCUUAAACAAUUGUGACGGGGAUGAAGAGGGGACGGGGAUAUACGCAAAAUAUCGGGGAUGGGUACGGGGAGAUUGGUCCUCUCCCCUCCCCUCCCCAUUGCCAUCCCUAUGCGUAUUGGUGUUGGAUCAAUGUUGUAUAUGCCUUCGCUACAAAAUUAGACAAUUUUAAAAAUUUUGGUGAUUAUGAUCCUAUUUAGGACUGAAUUGUUGUAACUUUUAAAGUACAAGUUUUGUGAAAAAAAAAGAUAUAAUUAUGAAUUAAGAGUAAAUAAUAUAUAGUAAACAUAAAUUUUAAAUAAUAAUUUUACUAAAAUUAUUAAAGAUUUAUUAGACUUUUCAUCACAUAAAUAUAAAAUCAAAUCAAAUUAGCUUUUAAAAUAUAACAGUUAAUGUUUACCAAAUACUUUAAUACUGUAACUUUUAAGGUAUAACUGUCCAACCUUAAUUCUAAAUAUAGUCUAUGAGUGUGUUUGGGAGUGAUGCGAGACAACUCGGUUGCUAAUGUAUUUGGUUACAUCUUACAGCUAAACUUUGACAGCUCAACAGUUUAAAAGUUAAAGUUUUUACUCUACAGCUAUAAUUUUUACUCUACAACAACUGCAACUUAAAAAUUACAGUACCUUACUUCCAAACACACCUUAUAUCUAUCACAAACUUGUUCAGAUUACUAACUAAUUAUGCGUUAUUUAACAUAGUAGAAUUCAGUAAUUCACUUAUUAUUAAUUUUUUGUUUUAGAUUUAGGUCUCUUGACCAUCUUUCACCGAUACAAACUGUUUUAUUACAUACCAAAACUGUUAAAAUCAAGGACGGAAGCAGCAUUGGUGCUACUAGGAUUAGUUGUCCCCACUUAAUUAAAAAAAGUAUUUAUUAAUCUAUUUUAUGCUUAAGUCUCACCCUGUAAUCUUUUAUCUUGAUUUCAUUGUUCAGUCCAUUUAUCCUUUAAAAUUAUUUGAACAACUCAGUAACUUGAAAUUAAAAGCCUAAUAGCCUUAAUUCCAGUAUGUUGCCAAAAAAAAAAAAUUAAUUAGCAUUGAUAAUAAAAUUAUUGCGCAAUCAACUCAUAAAAAAUUUAUAUAUAUAUAUAUAUAUUAUGAGUGAAAGAUAUAAUCUUAUAGUUAUUAUUAUUUUUAAAAAAUUACCCCCAUAGAACAAAUUUCUAACUUCAUUCCUUUUUAAAGUAACUCACGUUAUUUUAAAUUUUCAACAAAAGUCAAAGACAAAUAGGUAUAAAUAAUUAUUUUAAAUUUUUUAUUAAAACUUAGCAGUUUGAGAAAAUUUUAUUAAAUAUGAAAUAAGAAAUGAAAUACCAAAUUCAGAGAAUUUAAUUACAUUAUUUUUUCCCAGUUGGAAAUAUGUUGGAAAGAAAUGCCUUCAAAAUUUGCCAUUAAAAUAAGAAAUAUGUUUAUUAAUAUAAAUUAAAAAAUAAUGUAAUUAAAUUGAUUAAUAAAUAUUUGAUUUGGUUGGUCAUUUAACCAUAAAGUGACAACAUACAAGCGACAGAGUUGACGACUUUUUGUGCAGUGUGGAGCCCAUUCUAGACACAAAAAGUUAUGGAACAAAUGGUGCCACCAAACAAAUUUUUACUUCUAUGAAAGGGAAUCAAAAAAUGAGAAUGAUUUGAUGUCAAAAGUCAGUAUGAUCCAAGCAAUGCUGCAAAACGGUGCCACCAAACAAAUUUUUCAUUGUUAUUACGUUAAAAGACAGAAAAAAAAAAAACAAUUUGGAAACAGUACCAAGCAGCCUACUAAAAUUCUCGAAUUAUUUAGGAUUGGGGUUUUCUUUGAUGUUUAAUGAAUUAUUAUUGGCAAAUUGUAGUGAGUCAACAAUUGAAAUUAUAUUGAUCAAAUUGUAUCAGAACAUGAAUUCAUAUAAGUAAAUAGUGAGUAAAAGUUACUAGAUAGUCUGCAGUAAUAAAAUAAACAAUAGAAAAGAAAAUGAAAAAUAGAAAACUUAGAAAAAAAAAAAAGAGGCCUGUUAAACAAUAGUUUCUUUAAAACAAAUUUAUCACCUAUUACAGUGAUGUUAGAUUCAUUGGUAUUUGUUUUUCAAGAUACAACAGGAACAAAUUAUUUGUCAAACACAUACAAAUAAUUUCGGUGAACAUCAACAAUGUAGAAUCUCAAUCAAAACAUAACGUUAGAGGGAAAAAAAUUUAUUUUCUUUUCAAGUGUUCUGUGUGUUUGUUGUAUAUAAAACAUAAGAGAAAUAUUGUUUUUUUUAUAUACAUGAGGGUAUGACUGUUGAAUAAUAAAAUUGAAUAUUUGAAUUCUAUAUUUAAUUUAAUUUGCUUCUGUAAUAGCCCGUUGAAUUCAAAAUAUUUAAUUUUGUAACAACUCAAAAUUUAUUCACAAAUCAAACUAUUUUUUAUUUUUAAUUUUGAAAACUGUUACAAAAUUUAAAAGGAAAUAAAAAAAUGUGGUCAUGCAGGCUUGAGUGAUUUUUUGGUCGACAUUCGCAUAUGCAAGACGCUUGGGUGUACACGAGUUCAACCAAAUUGAGUUUGGAUUGCACUUCCCCUCCCCCCACAAGUGGCGUAGAGAAAACCUCUAUCUUUAAAAUUCUUAUUCAUGUAUGGAUAGGUAUCUAUAUAUAAACACAAAUCCCUUAGCUUAUUUUUUCUAUGUGAGAUAAGUUUUAUUUUUUUUCAAAUUUCUAACUUCAAGAGUGCACUUUGAGAGUCAAUUUUCUCAUUCACCCAAGCAUGAUUUUGAAUAUAUAUAAAUAUAUCAUUCUAAAGCGUUCACAGAAUAGAAUCCAAACCUCUCAAUAUUUUCAUUUUUGUUAAGUGGGUCCCACUCAAAAUGUGCCCUCCAAAAUAGCAUACUAAUAUGCUAUUUUUCAACAACUAUAUGAUAACAAAUUAACAAUAAUGAUAAAGUCAAAAUUAGUUUUGUACAACCAAUGGGUCAUUUGUUUUUUUUUUUUUUUGACUUAAUGACUUAAUUGAAUUUGUUAAGUCAUUAAAUCUAUUUAUUUUUUUCAACUUAAUGAAAAUUUUCAGUCAUUAGGUCAUUAAGUUAUUAAACUAAUUUUUUUAAACUUUUUGUUUAAUCUAAAAAGUCUGAAUGAUAUAAUUAAAAGAUAUUCUCCAAAAUAUCCCUAUCUAAUUAAUUAAUUUUCAUUUUUACCUAAAUAAAAUUUAAUAAUGAGCAGUAUUACCCAUCUCUAUAUAACUUGUGAUAAUAUAUAGUGGUAAACUAUUAUUUUUUUAUCUUUUAAUUUUUUUUCAAAUUAGCAUUAUUUAUCUUCAUAAUUUGUUAUGAAUAUUAUUCAUAUAAAAAUAUCAUAAACUAUAAUAAAUUUGAUAAACAUAUAUAAUAUAGAAUACUAAAGAGUUGUAUUCAAUCGAAUAUGAUUUAUGUUAUAAUCAUAUAUUAUCUUAUUUAUAUUCUUUGAGAUAUUUAUUUAUUUGUUUAACAUUUAUAAUUUGUAAGGGUAUAAAUGUAAAAAUAUCCGUUGUCAGAUUUUUUAAGUAAAAAAAAACUUAAUAUUUAUUUUUAGUGAUUCAAAUAAAAAAUAAACAUAUCAUUUAAAUUCAUACAUUUAGCUCUAUUAAGAAUUAAAACUAAUUUAGAUCUAUUCAGAUUUAAAAAAAAAAAAACAAAUACCACUUAAAUAUAUAAAAAUUAAUGUAAUAUGAAGAAAUUAAUUGAAAAGGGAUAACAAUUAUCUUUUUCAAAUAUGUUGAGUCAUGAUGAUUUUAUACAAACAAUCUCCUCAUGAGAUUAAAAUGAGCAAUGUGUCAAGGGUAUAGCAAAAUUAUCAAAAUGCUCGGUUUGUUAAAUUUAAUUUUCAAUUUUUAAAUUUAGAAAGUCAAAAGUCAAACUAAAUCAUUCGGUCUUUAAAAAAAGCAAAAAUACCAAAAUGACCCCGCUCCCCUUCUUAACCACCCGAUCCUCCACAAUUUCUCCUUAUCCUCUCAUCAAUAGCAAUGGCACAAAGAAAAGAAAACAUAGUGAUGUUCCCAUUCAUGGCACAAGGCCAUAUAAUCCCUUUCCUAGCAUUAGCCCUUCACUUGGAAAAAACAAACAAAUACACCAUAACUCUUGUUAACACCCCUUUAAACCUUAAGCAACUCAAAUCAUCUCUCCCUCAAAAUUCCUCUAUUCACCUUCUUGAAAUUCCUUUCAAUAGCGUAGUGCAUGACCUCCCUCCUUGUACUGAAAACACAGACUCUAUUCCAUAUCACCUCUUUCCAAAAUUCCUUCAAGCAACAGCAUCGCUCGAACCCCACUUCAAGAAACUAAUCUCUGAACUUGUCAAUGAACAAAAU
rnacentral:lncRNA from 1 species